rnacentral:lncRNA from 1 species
UCUCCCCUCUUUCUCGUUGUCGCGAGUGUUCGUUUUUCUCCUGCAAGAGCUCGAAUCUCACGGCAGCGAAACACACCAUUCGUCAAAUUGUCACGCAAGCGGAGACAUAUAGGGCGACAACUCGUAUAAGAUUCCGAAAGGAGUACUCCCUUGCACUCGACAGGCAAACCUUUUUCCCGUCCCUCCGAAAAGGCACAAUCCGCAGUUCGAUAAGAGGAACUGGGAGCUAUUAAAUGCCGUUUGUGCGACGACGGAAUACGGAUUCGACAGUUGUCAAGAGCACUGUAGGGGGGAGAUAAAGCAGCCAAUCGCGCAACGAGAAAAGACAUCGUAAAUUGGCUGGAGGGAAGAAACACGGGCUGUCGAAUCGGAGGGAAGGCGCGUGCGAGGAGAGGAGGGAUUGGGUGGGGAUCGCAGCACUCUCCUAACUUACUGCUCCUCCAGCGUCCUCGUCGUCCUAGUCCUCCUUCUCCUUCGCUUCCUCCGAGGCCUUUAGGAAUUUCCCCAAUCCAGGAAUCCUUGUUAAAUUGUCUCACCGGCCCUCGCAAUCCGCCCCGUUUCUUGCGGGCCUAGAUGGUUCCGGUCUUCCUCAUCCUUCUCCUUUCCCUUCAAUCUCGGCGAGAGCGUGGCGGGCAGACGCAACAGUACAAGGUGGCCUAUAUCCGAGCCUAUUCUACUACUUCUUCAUCUUCGUCGUUGUCGUCUUCCAUAUAUUUUUCAAUUCCAGCGGCCUUGAGGUCUCCGCUCAUUUUUGAAAAUUGCGAUCAGCCGAAGGGAAUCCAACACUGGGAUUUUUUUUUAAUUAAGGAGCAUCUAACUCCCAUUUAUUUUUAAUUUGAAGACAAAGGGACCUCAAAUGCGGCGUGUGGGAAGAAAGAGAGAGAGAGGUGCAUCCAAAUCACAAAGCAUUGGGCCUGUUUUUGUUCCCUCGCCUGCCCCCUCUGCCCGGGAGUGAAUUUCGCAAAACCCCCCCCCCCUCCCCUACCCGAGCGUGAUGAAGAAUGAGCUUUUGCUGGUUGAGUACCCGAAAAAAAGUAAGUGUGAAAGGCAAAGUACUAUGGAGGAAACUUUCCAGUGGCAGUAUGGGUUCCCAUCCCCUACUCAACCAAUAAAGGUGCUAUUCUCUCUGCGCAACAAGGAAAGGCUCCAAUUUCUUUUUUUUGAUUCUUCCUUACUUCUUCUUCUUUAUCUUUAUAUCUUCCAUUUAUUUCCUGUCAGUCUUUCUCUUUCCCUCUUUCUUCUUUUUUCCUUUUUUCCUUUUCCUUUUCCUUUCCUUUGAGGGGCUUGUGUAUAGUGACUGGUGUGUUGAAGCUUUGAUUGGUUGAGUGUGAGCAAGCCCACGUGUGUAUGAAGUUUUUACUGUGUGGAUCAAGUUUCCUGCAUUCAAAUUACCUCACACCCACACUAUUUGACAAUAUAUUUUACAUACACUGAAUGUAAGCCCCACAAGCUUUCAUUUUUAUGGAAAUCGAAAAUAAAGGGAAGGGUAAUGAAUGAAGGAGAUGGUGGAAAAGUGAAGCAUUAGAGCAACUUGUAUAUAUAGUAAUAUAGUCAUUCUUAUAUAGCAAGUUGAAUAGAAUUAUUAGUCGUUCUUAAUAUAGCAUGGACAAGUUUUAAAUUAUCAUGUUUACUAUAUUAAUGACAUAUAGUAAUGCAUGCUGGAUAAAUUUAUUUAUUUGUUUAUUUUUCCAUAUUCUUACUUAUUUAUUUAUUUUUCCAUAUACCUUUGUUAUUUAUUUCUAUUUAAAAUUUAGCCUAAGAUUCUGCAUUCAUAAAGUUUCAAAGCUUUUAAAACUUCUAUCUGUUUUUGGAUUUUUUGCUUUGAAAUCAGUAUUGACAUUAGCACACAAAACGUGUAAAUUGGUAUUAACCCUUGAGAUUGGUAUUGAAGUUAUUAUUAUUAUUAUUAUUAUUUUAUUUUGAAGAAAAUAAAAAUAAAGGUGCACUUAUGGCACACCUUGGGAUUGAAUGUUAGUUCUUAGAGUAUUUUAAUUUUCUCUUAUUUUUUCCAACACAUUGAUGUUUAAUUGCAGAACUUAAUUUUGAGCUAAAAAAAAAAUAUUAAUAAAAAAGAAUGUGAUGUGAUUUUGAUGC